rnacentral:rRNA from 1 species
UAACAACGACUCUCGGCAACGGAUAUCUCGGCUCUCGCAUCGAUGAAGAACGUAGCGAAAUGCGAUACUUGGUGUGAAUUGCAGAAUCCCGUGAACCAUCGAGUCUUUGAACGCAAGUUGCGCCCGAAGCCUUCCGGCCAAGGGCACGUCUGCCUGGGCGUCACACAAC